rnacentral:rRNA from 1 species
GAUGAACGCUGGCGGCGCGCCUAACACAUGCAAGUCGAACGAUUACAGCACCUUUGGUUGCGUAUGAAUUGGCGAACGGCUGAGUCACACGUUUGCAACCUGCCCCUCUCAUUGGGAUAGCUACUAAUACCCGUUGAUAUUUCCGAAUACUUCGUUUCUUCCCCUUGGAUGACUCGACGAUGCUUCGGCGGGUUGGUAUGGUCUCGGGGUGUGUUGGCUUGUUGGUGGGGUAAUGGACUACCAAGGCAAUGAUGGGUAGCUGGGUUGAGAGGACGACCAGCCAGACUGGGACUGAAACAAGGCACAGACUACAACGGGAGGCAGCAGUGGAGAAGCUUGCACAAGGGGCGAAAGCAUGAUGUGGCGACGCAGCGCGCGGGAUGAAGGGCUGGGGGUUGUAAACCGAUUUCAGCAGGGACGAGGCGAAAGUGACGGUACCGGCAGAAGAAGCCCCGGCUAACUACGUG